rnacentral:rRNA from 1 species
AUUGAACGCUGGCGGCAGGCCUAACACAUGCAAGUCGAGCGGCAGCGGGAAAGUAGCUUGCUACUUUUGCCGGCGAGCGGCGGACGGGUGAGUAAUGCCUGGGAAAUUGCCCAGUCGAGGGGGAUAACAGUUGGAAACGACUGCUAAUACCGCAUACGCCCUACGGGGGAAAGCAGGGGACCUUCGGGCCUUGCGCGAUUGGAUAUGCCCAGGUGGGAUUAGCUAGUUGGUGAGGUAAUGGCUCACCAAGGCGACGAUCCCUAGCUGGUCUGAGAGGAUGAUCAGCCAAACUGGAACUGAGACACGGUCCAGACUCCUACGGGAGGCAGCAGUGGGGAAUAUUGCACAAUGGGGGAAACCCUGAUGCAGCCAUGCCGCGUGUGUGAAGAAGGCCUUCGGGUUGUAAAGCACUCUCAGCGAGGAGGAAAGGUCAGUAGCUAAUAUCUACUGGCUGUGACGUUACUCGCAGAAGAGGCACCGGCUAACUCCGUGCCAGCCGCCGCGGUAACAC